CCCUUGUUUAAGGAAGCCUUCUAGCUGGACUUUUGUUUCCACAUUUCCCUGUUUUCCUCUCCUUAUCUCAGGAUAUCAGGAUAUCUUAUAUCUUCAUGGGAGGCCUCUGAGCAGAGAAAUCAGCCCAGAGAAGGGAAGUCUGAGGAGCUCCCUUGGAAAGAACUCAUCCAUGAGCAAAGAAGUAACUGGCCUAGGAAGAAAACUGAGUUUAUUUGCCAGAGAUGUUUCAGGAAAACAGACCUGAGCCUGACAAGCAGUCUGGGACUCACCCAGCUGAAGCAGCCAAACUCCGUUGAACCCACAGACCUAUGAACAAGACAUGAUCUUGAGAAAACUUGUCAUAUGCCAGCCGGAUUCUUGGAUUUUAACCGUAGACUUGGCAGUUUGGUCAGAACAUCACCACUACACUGACAUUUGAGAAGAUGUGUAGCUCUUCGAAGACAGAAACCUGAAUCUCCUCCAGUAUUACCAGUCGGUGGAGUCUGAGGCAACAAACAACUGUAUGCCUUUCACCUCACUGAGAGAUCAGAAAAUGUAUCAUUUUUACCUGUAGGAAUUAAUAAGGAACCAAAAUUUCAAAAAAAAAAAAAAGAAAGAAAUUAUUUGGAGAAUGCUAUUAUACCAGUGAAUCCCAAAGACUUCCAAAGAAAUGACAGGUUUGGUGGAAAUUUUCUAGAGCUCACUGCGCAAAAAAUUUAAUUACAGCACCCAUGACCUCUACAUGAUAUGACUCACUACACAAAGUGCCAUAAAACAAUUUUAGAGGGUUUUGGCGCUUCAAAAAAAAAAUUGAAAACUGGUUUAUUAUUUGGGUCUUUAUUGAAGAAAACUGAGAUACUGUUCCUUUAAUAUUGUUUACACUGUGGUCUUUAAGGUAUGAGAGUGGGGGAAGAUGAGAGAAUGAAUGAGGAAGAAAGGACACAUUUUGGUGUGUAAAAUAUGAAAUAGUUGGCUGACAUUUUCAUCUGAUAAACUUUCUUCUUCUGACUUUUCUCUCCCUUAGGACAUGAACUUUCAAACAAAAACAAAAACAAAAACCUUUAUCUCUUAACCUACUGAAGAUAAAAUUUGCUUCCUUUAGAGAGUGUCUCAUAAGGAAAUAGAAGCUAACAUUUAAGUGGUUUUGGAACAAUUGACUCACCACUUAGAAAAAUAAAUUUUAUGCCUGUCCUACAAAAAAAAUGCCUUUUGCUCUGAGGAGAAAGAUUUGUAAAGUUAGGAUCUGCCUAAAUAUAUUGACAAGUGGGUUUCAUUUUAGGCAAAAACAUGUGUAAGCAGUGUUAAUUACCUAAGGCCACAAGUGCCUAUAAAAGUAAAACAAGUACAGAAAUACACUCAGAACACUUUUUUCCCCACUCAAAGUACACAGCAAAUCAUAUUAACAACUAUUUAUUGAAAUGCACUCUGCUUUCCCUGACAGUUUAUACCAAAUAAAACUAACAUUGAGAAAAAAUUAGAAAAGUUUUAAUGAAGUGGAACUAUGACAAUAUCAUGGGUAACAAUAAUAUUUGUAUUCAUAAAUAAAUGCCAUAUUAGUUUCUAGAACUGCCAUAACCCGAUGCCACAAACUAGGUAGCUUAGGGGCACCUGGCUGGGUCAGUCAGUGGAACAUGCAACUCUUGAUCUUAGGGUCAUGAGUUGGAGCCCCACAUUGGGCGUGGUGCCUACUUAAAAAAAAUAUAUAUUACUCCUCAUCAGGAAAAUACAAAUCAAAGCCACAUUGAGAUACCAUCUCACACCAGUCAGAGUAGCUAAAAUGAACAACUCAGGAAACAACAGAUGCUGGUGAGGAUGUGGAGAAACGGGAACCCUCUUGUACUGCUGGUGGGAAUGCAAACUGGUGCAGCCGCUCUGGAAAACAGUGUGGAGGUUCCUCAAAAAAAGUAAAAAUAGAACUACCCUACAACCCAGCAAUAGCACUACUAGGAAUUUAUCCAAAGGAUACAAAAGUGCCGAUUCAUAGGGGUACAUGUACCCCCGUGUUUAUAGCAGCACUUUCAACAAUAGCCAAAGUAUGGAAAGAGCCUAAAUGUCCAUCAACUGAUGAAUGGAUAAAGAAGAUGUGGUUUAUAUCUACAAUGGAAUACUAUGUGGCAAUGAGAAAGAAUGAAAUUUUGUAGCAACGUGGAUGGAACUGGAGGCUAUUAUGCUAAGUGAGAUAAGUCAGUCAGAGAACACAUAUAUCAUGUUUUCACUCAUAUGUGGAACUUGAGAAACUUAACAGAAGACCAUGGAGGAAGGGAAGGAGAAAAAACAGUUACAGAGAGGGAGGGAGGCAAACCAUAAGAGACUCUUAAAUACGGAGAACAAAUGUCCCUAUGUUAAUUUGAUUGUCUAAAAAGAGCCUAUUUUCAAAUAAAUACAUUCAUAAGUACUGAAAGUUAGGACUUCAACAUCUUUUGGGGAAACAUAAUCCAACCAAGAUGUAUUAUUGCUUAUUUAUAGU